GACGAACGCUGGCGGCGUGCUUAACACAUGCAAGUCGAACGGGCCCGCCCCUGUUUUUGGGGGUGGGUUGAGUGGCGAACGGGUGAGUAUCACGUGAGUAACCUGCCCCCUGCUCCUGGAUAACUGCUUGAAAGGGCGGCUAAUACGGGGUGUGCCGGCUGGUCCGCAUGGGCCUGGUCGGGAUAGUUUCAUCUUCGGGUGUUUCGGUGGGGGAUGGGCUCGCGGCCUAUCAGCUUGUUGGUGGGGUGAUGGCCCACCAAGGCGGUGACGGGUAGCCGGCCUGGGAGGGUGGGCGGCCACACUGGGAGUGAGACACGGCCCAGACUCCUGCGGGAGGCAGCAGUGGGGGGUAUUGCACAAUGGGCGGAAGCCUGAUGCAGCGACGUCGCGUGAGGGAUGGAGGCCUUCGGGUUGUGAACCUCUUUCUCCGGUGGUGAAGGCCCUGUCCGUUGCGGCGGGGUUGACGGUAGCCGGGUAUGAAGCGCCGGCUAACUACGUG
rnacentral:rRNA from 1 species